GACGAACGCUGGCGGCGUGCUUAACACAUGCAAGUCGAACGGAAAGGCCCUGCUUUUGUGGGGUGCUCGAGUGGCGAACGGGUGAGUAACACGUGAGUAACCUGCCCUUGACUUUGGGAUAACUUCAGGAAACUGGGGCUAAUCCCGGAUAGGCGCUCCUGCUGCAUGGUGGGGGUUGGAAAGUUUCGGCGGUUGGGGAUGGACUCGCGGCUUAUCAGCUUGUUGGUGGGGUAGUGGCUCACCAAGGCGUUGACGGGUAGCCGGCCUGAGAGGGUGACCGGCCACAUUGGGACUGAGAUACGGCCCAGACUCCUACGGGAGGCAGCAGUGGGGAAUAUUGCACAAUGGGCGGAAGCCUGAUGCAGCAACGCCGCGUGCGGGAUGACGGCCUUCGGGUUGUAAACCGCUUUCGCCUGUGACGAAGCGUGAGUGACGGUAAUGGGUAAAGAAGCACCGGCUAACUACGUG
rnacentral:rRNA from 1 species